rnacentral:rRNA from 1 species
CUUAACGGUAAAAGCGCCUUCGAUACGGCUGGUCUUGAGUCCAGAAGAGGCCGGUGGAAUUCGUGGUGUAGCGGUGAAAUGCAUAGAGAUCACGAAGAACACCAGUGGCGUAAGCGGCCGGCUGGUCUGGUACUGACGCUGAGGCACGAGAGCGUGGGGAGCGAACAGGAUUAGAUACCCUGGUAGUCCACGCUGUAAACGAUGUAUGCUAGUUGUUGGCCCAUUCGGGUCAGUGACGCAGUUAACGCAGUAAGCAUACCACCUGGGGAGUACGUUCGCAAGAAUGAAACUCAAAGGAAUUGACGGGGGCCCGCACAAGCGGUGGAGCAUGUGGCUUAAUUCGAUGCAACGCGAAGAACCUUACCCAGGCUAAAUCUCCGGCGACCGCCCACCGAAAGGGGGCUUCCCUUCGGGGCGCC